rnacentral:rRNA from 1 species
AGUGAACGCUGGCGGUAGGCCUAACACAUGCAAGUCGAACGGCAGCACAGUAAGAGCUUGCUCUUACGGGUGGCGAGUGGCGGACGGGUGAGGAAUACAUCGGAAUCUACUUUUUCGUGGGGGAUAACGUAGGGAAACUUACGCUAAUACCGCAUACGACCUACGGGUGAAAGCAGGGGAUCUUCGGACCUUGCGCGAUUGAAUGAGCCGAUGUCGGAUUAGCUGGUUGGCGGGGUAAAGGCCCACCAAGGCGACGAUCCGUAGCUGUUCUGAGAGGAUGAUCAGCCACACUGGAACUGAGACACGGUCCAGACUCCUACGGGAGGCAGCAGUGGGGAAUAUUGGACAAUGGGCGCAAGCCUGAUCCAGCCAUACCGAGUGGGUGAAGAAGGCCUUCGGGUUGUAAAGCCCUUUUGUUGGGAAAGAAAAGCAGCAGGUUAAUACCCCGCUGUUCUGACGGUACCCAAAGAAUAAGCACCGGCUAACUUCGUG